GACGAACGCUGGCGGCGUGCUUAACACAUGCAAGUCGAACGGAAAGGCCCUGCUUUUGUGGGGUGCUCGAGUGGCGAACGGGUGAGUAACACGUGAGUAACCUGCCCUUGACUUUGGGAUAACUUCAGGAAACUGGGGCUAAUACCGGAUAGGAGCUCCUGCUGCAUGGUGGGGGUUGGAAAGUUUCGGCGGUGGGGGAUGGACUCGCGGCUUAUCAGCCUGUUGGUGGGGUAGUGGCUUACCAAGGCUUUGACGGGUAGCCGGCCUGAGAGGGUGACCGGCCACAUUGGGACUGAGAUACGGCCCAGACUCCUACGGGAGGCAGCAGUGGGGAAUAUUGCACAAUGGGCGGAAGCCUGAUGCAGCAACGCCGCGUGCGGGAUGACGGCCUUCGGGUUGUAAACCGCUUUCGCCUGUGACGAAGCGUGAGUGACGGUAAUGGGUAAAGAAGCACCGGCUAACUACGUG
rnacentral:rRNA from 1 species